GUGCCAGCAGCCGCGGUAAUACGUAGGGUGCGAGCGUUAAUCGGAAUUACUGGGCGUAAAGCGUGCGCAGGCGGUUCGACAAGUCCGAUGUGAAAGCCCCGGGCUCAACCUGGGAAUGGCAUUGGAAACUGGCGGGCUGGAGUGUGGCAGAGGGGGGUGGAAUUCCGCGUGUAGCAGUGAAAUGCGUAGAGAUGCGGAGGAACACCGAUGGCGAAGGCAGCCCCCUGGGCUGACACUGACGCUCAGGCACGAAAGCGUGGGGAGCAAACAGGAUUAGAAACCCGUGUAGUCC
rnacentral:rRNA from 1 species